ACAGAAACUAACAGGAGAGGAUGUUAUUUGUUACAAACCUUUUUAUUAAGAUAUUCAGAUUUUUUUCUUUUUUCCCCACUUUUUUUUUUACAGUAGUUAAUGUGCAAUUAUCAUUUUUAUUAUUGGGUCACAGUAAGGAAUUCACAAAGUUAUUGGCACUUGGAACACAGAAUAAACACUGGCAUGUACUUGGGGAUAGGGGCACGUGGGCUGAUGGCAGGAAGGAAAAGGGUUUUUUUAGGGGUGGGUCUUUGACAUCAGUAGACACUACUGCAUUUGAUUUUUCCCCAAAAAGUAAAAAGCGGUUUUGGGGGAAGGGUAAGGUUUUGUUUUUGUUGUUUUUUUUGUAUUUUUUUUUAUACCUCAUGCUUGUGAAUGCACAACUAACAAUCAAACUUCAUUAGUGCUUCUAUGUAAAAUGUACAGUAUAUAUAUAUAUUUAUAUAUAUUUAUAGUGUGGGGGAGAGAAAGACAGGUCUGAGAAGCCCAGACCACACCAGAGACAUCGCUAAGCAAGAGAAGAAGCCCUCUUCGUUGCUAUAGCGACACAGUCCCUCUGCCCUAAAUAUUUGAGGUAACACUUCCCCCCCCCCCCCUCAGUUUCACACUCGCACUGGCCCUCUCCGUCAGCCCCUCGGGUUUAAAACCUUUCAAACUGUAAACUUCAGAUUGAGGGGGGAGUCUUGUGUCGAAUAGAAAGUAGAAAGAAAACUAGGAGGAAAACUACGCUGUACAGCAGCACCACCAGGUUAGGAGGUUAAAAGGUCAAAGGUCUUUUCUGAUGGCCCUUAUCUGACUGAACAGGAAAGCGGGGAGCUUGUUGAGGACUGUCCAAGUGGCAGAGGGGUGGUGGGAGGUAGGUCCGCGCGCGCACACACACACACACACACACACACACACACACACACACAGAGCUGCGUGCGUGUCGGGAGUGUUUCAGUGCCCUCAGGCCGAUGUCUCUGGUGUGUGUCAGGAGGAGCCCGGAAGAAGAAGAAAGCAGGAUAACAUGUCGUGUGACUGGAUAGAAGUCUACAAGGUUGCCGUUAGCGAAAACGCACGGGCCUGGAGCGCGUAGAGGGGAAGGGGAAGGGAGGGGGGGGGGGGGGGGGGGAGGAGACAUACAAGGACCAACAGGCUGCAGGGCAGAGGGGGUUUAAGGAAGAGAGAGAGAGGGGGAUGAAGGAGGAGGAGGGAUAGAUUGAUAACAGAGGCAGGUGUAGCCCAGACCAAAGCUAAGCACCCUUUUUUGUUGUUUUUUUUUUAAAUUUUUUAAAAAGAAAGAAAGAAAGAAAAAACACCAAACUAGGUUUCUCAUCUCUCCAAACCUCAGGUCUUCCCCUUUAGUUAGUAAUGAUGCACUGUGGAUCCCCUAUCCUGGAGGAGGAGAACAAAGCCCUUCCUCUGCACCCUCUUCAAAAAAAACCGAUCUAUCCACCCCGGGGUCCACACCACGUCCUGCGUCCACCAUGGAUGACAGGUGGAGUGGGAUUCCACAACAGAGUUACAAAAAAGAAAACAACACAAAGAAUCAAUCAUUGUAUAAAAGAAAAUUAGAAAAAAAAACGAUAACAAAAGCACGUCAAUUUCCCCCAAUCCCAUAAUCCAAUCCCACUUUCUAACACCAUCUGCACACACGCACACACACACACACACACACACACACACAGCAGUUUUGGGAGAGAUCAGACAGAAAGGUGCCAAGGUGCUGGCCCACGGCUGUGGACACUCACCCGAAGGUGCUUAAGUUUCUUUUUCAAAAACUCCCUCUCUCUCCCUCUGUGUGUGUGAGAGAGAAAAAGGUGACAUGGUUUUUUUUAGAAAAAUGAAGACAAAAAAGGUUUCUCAAGAUACAGGAGCCUCAGCUCAAUCAGAAUUACAAUGUCUAUCAAAGUCUCAUUCUUUUCAAUAACAUCUGUGCUUUCCCAGUACCCUAAACCCCACACACACCCAUAUAACACAUCAGGUCACUCAUCAUUUUGACAUUAAAAUGGUAUUUAAAAAAAAAAAAAAUUGAAAUCUUUUAAAAAUAUUUGAAUACAAAGUGUUGAUUUGGGAUAUCAAUAUUAAAUAUUCUCUCCUAUAAUCUUUUUUAUUAUUAUUUUUAAAUAGUGAUGCCUCCUGCGGUCCAACCGCCCCAGGUCACUAUGAAAAAAAAGCAGCAGUCUCAGACACUGGCCAUACAAUUGACAUUAGAAAAACCCGUCUGGGUCAUUGGCAUUUGGCACCCUCAUUCAAACGAGGAUCACUCACUGGUGUGGCGCCUAUUUUUGGGCUAGGAAUUUUGGUGUCAAAACAAAGGAGAAAAAAAAGACAAAAGAUUCAAACAAUUCAUCAGGUGCUUGGGUUAUCUCUGUGCUUUUCUACAGCAUGGAGGUCCGCCUUCCACAAAGCGUUCCCUGCCUCACUCCACUCCACUCAGAGGGGUGGGCUAACAUGCCCCCCCAGACCAGUGGACAAGGCAGACCGAAAGCCACCUUUUCUGGGGCGGGGGGUGCUGCUGCCCUCUGCUGGGCUGAUGUAGCACUUCAGCUACGUCCACACCACCCAGCUCUCACGGCCCAACCUUCAUGCCCAUUUCAUACAGAGUGCUGGCCAACACACCCCUCUCCCCUCUCCCCUCUCCUUUCUUAUUGAUUGAAAUCCAAUGACGCAAGUAGAUCGUUUUUUCUUUUAAAAGCAAUAAAUACAUUCUUAUCAGACAGGGUGAGAACGACACCCUGCAGUGCUUCAUAAUUCCGCCUCCCUGUCUGCCUUUUCCUUACAAACCCCCCCCCCCCCCCCAUCCUAAACAAUUCCGCACAGAGUCUUCAAGCCUCUCUCCCAGCUUUGAAAUGAAUCCCUCCCAACUCGGGUCAAUUCUUCAGUCGUACUCCAUGUGGAAAUAUGUGGUUCUCUUUUGCCUUUCUAGCAGGUGCACAUUUUUUUGUAUCGUUCCUCUAUACUGUAACUUGGCAACGCUAUCUUUCGGGUUAAUGUGGAAUUAGUAGCAAAUCUCUUCACAAACGUAGCACUACUUUCACUAUAAUCUGUGUUGGAGAGAAAACAAGCAAUAAGAAUGGUUAAGUUAAAAAAAAAAGAAUGGAAGAAAAACGGAACUACUUAAGUCUGAAAUUCUACAAAAGCUCCCCCUUGACGGUUUUCCUUUCUUUUUGGACCAAAAAAAUAAAAAAUGGCGCCUUCUGGCAUCUUUUGUGCUCAGUGUUUUGUGAUUUCACAUUCCUUCUCUUAUCCUUUUACCUUUCUUUUCCUUUUCAGUAUUUCAGUAGCAAUCUCCACAUGAGCCACGCCGAGCUUCUUCAAUCUAUUAUUUUCUCCAAAU
ensembl:lncRNA